rnacentral:rRNA from 1 species
AGCGAACGCUGGCGGCAGGCCUAACACAUGCAAGUCGAGCGGCCGUAGCAAUACGGCAGCGGCAGACGGGAGAGUAACACGUGGGAACGUGCCCAUCAGUUCGGAACAACCCAGGGAAACUUGGGCUAAUACCGGAUACGCCCUAACGGGGAAAGAUUUAUCGCUGAUGGAGCGGCCCGCGUCUGAUUAGCUAGUUGGUGAGGUAACGGCUCACCAAGGCGACGAUCAGUAGCUGGUCUGAGAGGAUGAUCAGCCUCACUGGGACUGAGACACGGCCCAGACUCCUACGGGAGGCAGCAGUGGGGAAUAUUGGACAAUGGGCGCAAGCCUGAUCCAGCCGUGCCGCGUGGAUGAUGAAGGCCCUAGGGUUGUAAAGUCCUUUCGGCGGGGAAGAUAAUGACGGUACCCGCAGAAGAAGCCCCGGCUAACUUCGUGCCAGCAGCCGCCGUAAAAC